rfam:Populus trichocarpa scaffold_11_contig_637, whole genome shotgun sequence.
UUAUGCCUGGCUCCCUGUAUGCCACAGCAAAGACCAAUCUCUUCUGUCUUAGAUUGGCUGCUGCCGGUGGCGUGCGAGGAGCCAAGCAUAC